GCAUGGACAGAAUAAUAUUUUUUUAUUACUCAGUCAAUUUUUGAAUUUUGUUUAAGUUCCUGAUAUUUUAAAUAUCAUAGUGAUAGAUUUAUAAAGCAUAUUGCAAACAAAUAUACAAUCAAUAUUUCGCUCUGAAACGCCAAAAAUAUCGAAAAUCGCUAGUUUCCCAGCUCCAAUAACAAAAAAAAACUACUUGGUGAAGAUAAUAUGGUGAUACAGUAAACAUGACAAAAUAAUUUAGAUUUCGUAUUUCCACUGCUAUAUGUGUUACGAACUGCUUCCUUCGCGGGCAGCGCCGCUAGCUCAGCGAUCUCAUUUGGGCCAAGUUCUCCCCAAUGCCCGCAGUCCGACAACAUAAAAUACAAACAUCGAUUACGGUCGUCUCACAAUACUAACUCUCUGCGACCACUAACAAAAUGUAAACAACCAAAAAAACGUAAACAUUCAAAUACAAGGCGGCGGAAAUUUGGAUCUUUGGUGGCCAUCGGUGUUCUUGGCCACUGCGUACCCACCCAACCUAGGAUGCCUGAUGAUCCUGAAAGAAGUUCUGCUGACAACGCGGAGGCACCUUUUCUCCGAGGGACUGCCGGAAAUGGCGUCGUAAUGGCCGACAUUUUGAUAUUUUUUUUUUUUGAAAAUUUCACAAAAUCUUUAUUAAAUAUGUAUCUUUUAAAUAAUAAAAAGUUUAAUUGAAAUAUUUCAUUUUUUAUAUGCAAAAAAAAUGUUUGAAAAAAGGCCGUUUUUUACCCGAGGAAACUCAUGUAACCCCUUUGUUUGGUCAUGCCGCAGCCUAAAUCCAAUCACUAAAUUAAAAUCCUAACGUAAUUCA